rnacentral:rRNA from 1 species
UACGUAGGUGGCAAGCGUUGUUCGGAAUUACUGGGCGUAAAGAGUGCGUAGGCGGUGCUCUAAGUCUGUUGUGAAAUCUCCCGGCUUAACUGGGAGGGUGCGGCGGAAACUGGAGUGCUUGAGGGUGGGAGAGGUAAGCGGAAUUCCUGGUGUAGCGGUGAAAUGCGUAGAUAUCAGGAGGAACACCUGUGGUGUAGACAGCUUACUGGACCACUUCUGACGCUGAGGCACGAAAGCGUGGGUAGCAAACAGG